UACGUAGGUGGCAAGCGUUGUCCGGAUUUACUGGGCGUAAAGAGCGCGCAGGCGGUCGUUCAAGUCGCGUGUGAAAGCCCCCGGCUCAACUGGGGAGGGUCACGCGAUACUGAUCGACUCGAAGGCAGGAGAGGGUAGUGGAAUUCCCGGUGUAGUGGUGUAAAUGCGUAGAGUAUCGGGAGGAACACCAGUGGCGAAGGCGGCCCACUGGCUCGAUACUGACGCUGAGGUGCGAAAGCGUGGGGAGCAAACAGG
rnacentral:rRNA from 1 species